GAUAUAGUGGCGGACGGGUGAGUAACGCGUAAGCAACCUACCUUCAAGACUGGUACAACCUGCUGAAAAGUGGGCUAAUCCCAGAUAGUAUUUUAGAGAUGAUUUCUCUAUAAUUAAAUGAUUUUUCGCUUGAAGAUGGGCUUGCGUCCUAUCAGCUAGUUGGCGAGGUAAUGGCUCACCAAGGCGAUGACGGGUAGCUGGUUUGAGAGGACGACCAGUCACACUGGAACUGAGACACGGUCCAGACUCC
rnacentral:rRNA from 1 species